AACGAACGCUGGCGGCAGGCUUAACACAUGCAAGUCGAACGCCCCGCAAGGGGAGUGGCAGACGGGUGAGUAACGCGUGGGAACAUACCUCUCGGUACGGAAUAGCUCAGGGAAACUUGAAUUAAUACCGUAUACGCCGUAUUGGGAAAGAUUUAUCGCCGAGAGAUUGGCCCGCGUUAGAUUAGCUAGUUGGUGGGGUAAUGGCCUACCAAGGCUACGAUCUAUAGCUGAUCUGAGAGGAUGAUCAGCCACACUGGGACUGAGACACGGCCCAGACUCCUACGGGAGGCAGCAGUGGGGACUCUUGGACAAUGGGCGCAAGCCUGAUCCAGCCAUGCCGCGUGAAUGACGAAGGCCUUAGGGUUGUAAAGUUCUUUCACCGGGGAAGAUAAUGACGGUACCCGGAGAAGAAGCCCCGGCUAACUUCGUGCCAGCCGCCGCAGUAA
rnacentral:rRNA from 1 species